AAGCUUGCUGGAAAUACAACUUAGUGGCGGACGGGUGAGUAACACGUGAGUAACCUGCCUUUCAGAGUGGAAUAACGUUUGGAAACGAACGCUAAUACCGCAUAACAUGAGAGAACGGCAUCGUUCUUUCAUCAAAGAUUUUAUCGCUGAGAGAUGGGCUCGCGGCCGAUUAGGUAGUUGGUGAGAUAACAGCCCACCAAGCCGACGAUCGGUAGCCGGACUGAGAGGUUGAACGGCCACAUUGGGACUGAGACACGGCCCAGACUCCUACGGGAGGCAGCAGUGGGGGAUAUUGCACAAUGGAGGAAACUCUGAUGCAGCGACGCCGCGUGAGGGAAGACGGUCUUCGGAUUGUAAACCUCUGUCUUUAGGGACGAAAAAAUGACGGUACCUAAGGAGGAAGCCACGGCUAACUACGUGCCAGCAGCCGCGGUAAUACGUAGGUGGCAAGCGUUGUCCGGAAUUACUGGGUGUAAAGGGAGCGUAGGCGGG
rnacentral:rRNA from 1 species